UACGAAGGGGGCUAGCGUUACUCGGAAUUACUGGGCGUAAAGGGCGCGUAGGCGGCGCUCCAAGUUAGGCGUGAAAGUCCUGGGCUCAACCUGGGAACUGCGCUUGAUACUGGAGUGCUUGAGUGCGGAAGAGGGUCGUGGAAUUCCCAGUGUAGAGGUGAAAUUCGUAGAUAUUCGCAAGAACACCAGUGGCGAAGGCGGCUCACUGGCCCGGAACUGACGCUGAGGUGCGAAAGCGUGGGGAGCAAACAGGG
rnacentral:rRNA from 1 species